rnacentral:tRNA from 1 species
GUGCGGUUAGCACUCAGGACUUUGAAUCCUGCGACCCGAGUUCAAAUCUCGG